UCGAUAAAAAUCAAAGUAUUUAUACUUUGUUACUUCCCAACACUCGCGUUUCGUAACGUCUUACAUUUUCUAAUUGAGAAACUCGAAAUGUCAUCUAAUUUUAAACACAGUACAAGUUUCAGAUAAUACUUGUUUGGCUCCAAUCCGUGGCGCACUGCAGCUCAAACGUCAGACUGUCUACCUCCAUUUGUACACGAAGAAGGAUGCGGAAAUGACGUCACUCGCCACUUUUAGCCACAAGCUAGCAGUCGAGUACUAACACUAAAACAAUUGUUUACGUUCACUUUUGACCGCGUUUUCUUCACAUUCUUGUCAACGCAUUAUAGUUGACGCGAACAAGAGUAGCAUUUAGAGGAGAAGCUAACAAGUCGAACUCCACUUGAACGUCUAUCAAGUCAUGGCGCCAAACGUCAGAUUUUAAUCUCAGAUUGUGGGGGCGGAAUCCUUUUAGUUUGGUGAGACGUGGUCAACGUCAGGCAGCAGCGACGGUCCGUGGGUCUCUGAGGAUUUAACGCCAGUAGCGGACCGGACCGAGGCUACUUCCCUUCCUCGCUCCGAGCGGUGGUGAUGCUCGUCGUGGGUGCUUAAUGGGGCUCUUCAGAGUCAUGACGCCGCCCAAAUUGCAGCUUUUGGCCGUGCUGACAUUCACUGUCACCAUGCUCUUCAUCGAGAACCAGAUCCAAAGACUGGAAGAGUCCAGAGCCAAACUAGAGCGCGCCAUGGCCAGACACGAAUUUUCCGAGGUGGAGCCGCAGCACCACGGCGAAGACGGCCGUCGCGGGCUCUCGGAAGAUGACGACGAUGUUGACGACGACACGGUGAUCAUCUACAACCGGGUGCCCAAAACGGCCAGCACGUCCUUCACCAACAUCGCGUACGACCUGUGCGCCAAGAACCGCUUCCACGUGCUGCACAUCAACACCACCAAGAACAACCCCGUCAUGUCCCUCCAGGACCAGAUGCGUUUUGUUCACAACGUCACGUCCUGGCGAGGGAUGAAGCCCGGCUUCUAUCACGGCCACGUGGCCUACCUGGACUUCUCCAAGUACGCCGUCAAGGGGAAGCCGCUGUACAUCAAUGUGGUGCGAGAUCCCAUCGAGCGCCUGGUGUCCUACUACUACUUCCUACGCUUCGGUGACGACUACCGGCCCGGCCUGCGGCGAAGGAAGCAAGGCGACAAGAAGACCUUCGACGAGUGCGUGGCUUCCGGCGGCUCUGACUGCGCCCCCGAGAAACUCUGGCUGCAGAUUCCCUUCUUCUGCGGACACCAGUCAGAGUGCUGGAACGUUGGCAGUCGCUGGGCGCUGGAGCAGGCCAAAUACAACCUGGUCAACGAGUAUCUCCUGGUGGGCGUGACCGAGGAGCUGGAGGACUUCAUCAUGAUCCUGGAGGCCGCGCUGCCGCGCUUCUUCAAGGGUGCCAUCGACCUCUACAAAAUGGGCAAGAAGUCGCACCUGCGCAAGACCACCGAGAAGAAGCUCCCCACCCGGGAGACCAUCGGUAAACUCCAGCAGUCCAAGAUCUGGAAGAUCGAGAACGAGUUCUACGAGUUUGCACUGGAGCAGUUCCAGUUCGUGCGGGCGCACGCCGUCCGAGAGAAGGACGGCGAGCUCCUCGUGCUGCCGCAGAGCUUCUUCUACGAGAAGAUCUACCCCAAAGCCGCCUGAGGAGCAGCGGAGGGGAGGACCAAGACACACACAUGCUGGAUUCCAGGACUGUUUACAGGCCUGACCUCGUGACUUGCCGACUUCUGCCUGUACUGUAAGUGCGCCUGUUUGUGUUUCCCCCUCUGGUGGGGACCACCACGCCCCCACCCUCCUGACAACGGGCAACAAAGGGUCCAUUGAGUGGUCGUGGCAAAGUCGGCAGCGAGGGUCUUUGAUGGCUAAUCUGCAUGCAUUUGUGCAGGGAAACUGGAGCCAGCUUCAAGGAAACAGGUGGAACUCAUUACGAUAUCCCCACUCUAGAUUUCCUCUUAUGUUCUUUUUUGGGUUUUUUUUUAUCACGAUUUUGUUUUCCCUUCCUACCAGAAAUUCCCUGGCGGGUGCUCCAUGUGAACACACAAAAACAUGGCAAGUUUUACUUUGUGCUCAAAGUUUUUAAUACAGGUUUUGGUUUUGAUUUUACAAAGUGAAAAGUCAGCUUUGGAACCCAUGUUGCAUUCGAGAAAUUUCAAAAACAUCCCCCUCGCCUCAACAUCAUCAAAAUAUUUCUACCUCCUCCCGCAUUGCUUCUCUCGCGUUAUGUGCUGUCAAAAUGAGUCCCAACAUGCUGGACCAUAUUUACUUCCGUAAUCGCUGUGCCAAGUGACUUUUGGAGGUGCGGGGGGGUGUACAUUAUAAAUCGCAUUUGUUUUUGUAAUGUGAACGAGUACAUAAGAAGACCGUGUUUAAGAAAAAAAAUCUAAUUGGGCGUCAGCCCUGCAGCGUGAAUAUAGCCUAAAUUUGUCUCCUAACAUUAUGAUUUUUUAAAAAAAAAAAUUUUCGACUCAAAGAAAUCCGC